rnacentral:pre_miRNA from 1 species
UUGGUUUAAAUCAUUGUGGGUCUACACUUUGAAAAUUGAACCCACACAAAGUAGUGUGACAUAUAUUAGUUUAAUCUAA